UAGGGAAUAUUGGACAAUGGGGGCAACCCUGAUCCAGCAAUGCCGCGUGUGUGAAGAAGGCCUGCGGGUUGUAAAGCACUUUCAGUAGAGAAGAAAAGCCUGAGGUUAAUAACCUCGAGUCUUGACGUUACCUACAGAAGAAGGACCGGCUAACUCCGUGCCAGCAGCCGCGGUAAUACGGAGGGUCCAAGCGUUAAUCGGAAUUACUGGGCGUAAAGCGCGCGUAGGCGGCUUGGUCAGUCGGAUGUGAAAGCCCCGGGCUUAACCUGGGAAUUGCAUUCGAUACUGCCGAGCUAGAGUAUGGGAGAGGGAAGUGGAAUUUCCGGUGUAGCGGUGAAAUGCGUAGAUAUCGGAAGGAACACCAGUGGCGAAGGCGACUUCCUGGCCCAAAACUGACGCUGAGGUGCGAAAGCGUGGGUAGCGAACAGGAUUAGAUACCCCCGUAGUCC
rnacentral:rRNA from 1 species